CUAUAAUAAAAUUCACCCUGUGGUACCCAACCUUUUUUAUAUACGGGCCCCAAACACGUUUUUGUCUUG